GUGGCGGACGGGUGAGUAACACGUGGGUAACCUGCCCUUAAGUGGGGGAUAACAUUUGGAAACAGAUGCUAAUACCGCAUAGAUCCAAGAACCGCAUGGUUCUUGGCUGAAAGAUGGCGUAAGCUAUCGCUUUUGGAUGGACCCGCGGCGUAUUAGCUAGUUGGUGAGGUAAUGGCUCACCAAGGCGAUGAUACGUAGCCGAACUGAGAGGUUGAUCGGCCACAUUGGGACUGAGACACGGCCCAAACUCCUACGGGAGGCAGCAGUAGGGAAUCUUCCACAAUGGACGCAAGUCUGAUGGAGCAACGCCGCGUGAGUGAAGAAGGCUUUCGGGUCGUAAAACUCUGUUGUUGGAGAAGAAUGGUCGGCAGAGUAACUGUUGUCGGCGUGACGGUAUCCAACCAGAAAGCCACGGCUAACUACGUGCCAGCAGCCGCGGUAAUACGUAGGUGGCAAGCGUUAUCCGGAUUUAUUGGGCGUAAAGCGAGCGCAGGCGGUUUUUAAGUCUGAUGUGAAAGCCCUCGGCUUAACCGAGGAAGCGCAUCGGAAACUGGGAAACUUGAGUGCAGAAGAGGACAGUGGAACUCCAUGUGUAGCGGUGAAAUGCGUAGAUAUAUGGAAGAACACCAGUGGCGAAGGCGGCUGUCUGGUCUGUAACUGACGCUGAGGCUCGAAAGCAUGGGUAGCGAACAGGAUU
rnacentral:rRNA from 1 species